rnacentral:rRNA from 1 species
UACGGAGGGUGCAAGCGUUAUCCGGAUUCACUGGGUUUAAAGGGUGCGUAGGCGGGCAGGUAAGUCAGUGGUGAAAUCUCCGAGCUUAACUUGGAAACUGCCGUUGAUACUAUCUGUCUUGAAUAUUGUGGAGGUGAGCGGAAUAUGUCAUGUAGCGGUGAAAUGCUUAGAUAUGACAUAGAACACCAAUUGCGAAGGCAGCUCGCUACACAUAUAUUGACUCUGAGGCACGAAAGCGUGGGGAGCAAACAGG